rnacentral:lncRNA from 1 species
AUUGAAUGAGAGAAAGUACUCGUUGCAAAGUUAUACUGUUAGGGCGUAACUGAGUAGUCUAUUGUUGCUCCGGAUUUGGUUCUUGUGAACGUUGACAUCGAUUCAUUCCAAAUUUACUCUCUCGGGGCAAAAUAGAAUAAUAUAAUUAGGUUUUACUCUUUGUUCGAUAGAAUGCAAAAAAGUACUCAUUGCAAAGUUAUACUGUUAGGGCGCAACUGAGUAGUCUAAUGUUGUUCCGAUUUUGGAUCUUGUGAACGUAGAUAUCAAUUAGUUCCAAAUUUAUUCUCUCAGGGCAAAAUAGAACAAUAUAAUUAGGUUUUAUUCUUUGUUCGAUAGAAUGAGAAAAAACACUCAUUGCAAAUUUAUAUUGUUAGAGCGCAACAGAGUAGUCUAUUGUUGUUCCGGUUUUGGUUCUUGUGAAGGUUGACAUCGAUUCGUUCCAAAUUUACACUCUCGGGGCAUAAUAGAAUAAUAUAAUUAGCUUUUACACUUUGUUCGAUUGAAUGAAAAAAAGUACUCGUUGCAAAGUUAUACUGUUAGGGCGCAACUGAGUAAUCUAUUAUUGUUCCGGUUUUGUUUCUUAUAAAGGUUGACAUCGAUUCAUUCCAAAUUUACACUCUCGGGGCAUAAUAGAACAAUAUUAUUAGCUUUUACUCUUUGUCCGAUAGAAUGUGAAAAAGUACUCAUUGCAAAAUAAUACUGUUAGGGUGCAACUGAGUAGUCUAAUGUUGUUCCGGUUUUCGUACUUGUGAGCGUAGAUAUCGAUUCGUUCCAAAUUUACUCUCUCGGGGCAAAAUAGAACAAUAUAAUUAGGUUUUACUCUUUCUUCGAUAGAAUGAGAAAAAGCACUCGUUGCAAGUUUAUAUUGUUAGGGCGCAACAGAGUAGUCUAUUGUUGUUCCGAUUUUGGUUCUUGUGAAGGUUGACCUCGAUUCGUUCCAAAUUUACACCCUCGGGGCAUAAUAGAAUAAUAUAAUUAGCUUUUACACUUUGUUCGAUUGAAUGAGAAAAAGUACUCGUUACAAAGUUAUACUGUUAGGGCGCAAGUGAGUAAUCUAUUGUUGUUCCGGUUAUGCUUCUUGUGAAGCUUGACAUCGAUUCGUUCCAAAUUUACACUCUCGAGGCAUAAUAGAACAAUAUAAUUAGCAUUUACUCUUUUUUCGAUUGAAUGAGAAAAAGUACUCGUCGCAAAGUUCUAUUGUUAGGGCGGAACUGAGUAGUCUUUUUUUGUUCCGGUUUUGGUUCUUGUCAAGGUUGACAUCGAUUCGUACCAAAUUUACACUCUCGGGGCGCAAUAGAACAAUAUAAUUAGCUUUUACUCUUUGUUCGAUUGAAUGAGAAAAAGUACUCGUUGCAAAGUUAUACUGUUAGGGCGCAACUGAGCAGUCUAUUACUGUUUCGGUUUUGGUUCUUGUCAAGGUUGACAUCGAUUCGUACCAAAUUUACACUCUCGGGGCGCAAUAGAACAAUAUAAUUAGCUUUUACUCUUUGUUCGAUUGAAUGAGAAAAAGUACUCGUUGCAAAGUUAUACUGUUAGGGCGCAACUGAGUAGUCUAUUAUUGUACCAGAUUUGGUUCUUGUGAAGGUUGACAUCGAUU